UUUAACUGAGCGUUCAGUUACUUGACGUAGACCCGAAACCGGGCGACCUACCCAUGAGCAGGAUGAAGCGAAAGUAAAAUUUCGUGGAGGUCCGAACCCACGAGCGUUGAAAAGCUCGGGGAUGACUUGUGGGUAGCGGUGAAAUUCCAAUCGAGCCCGGAGAUAGCUGGUUCUCCCCGAAAUAGCUUUAGGGCUAGCCUCAAGGUGAGAGAUACGGAGGUAGAGCACUGAAUGUCCUAGGGGGUAUUGCACCUACCGAAGACUAUCAAACUCCGAAUGCCGUCAUCUUAUACUUGGGAGUCAGACUGUGGGUGAUAAGAUUCAUAGUCGAAAGGGCAACAGCCCAGAUCGUCAGCUAAGGUCCCUAAAUGUAAGUUAAGUGGUAAAGGAUGUGGGAUUGCACAGACAACCAGGAUGUUGGCUUAGAAGCAGCCACUCAUUCAAAGAGUGCGUAAUAGCUCACUGGUCGAGUGAUCCUGCGCCGAAGAUUUCCGGGGCUAAAACUUACUACCGAAGCUACGGCAUCAGUAAUGAUGGGUAGGGGAGCUUCCCAUACGGGUUGAAGCAUGACCGUAAGGACAUGUGGACAGUAUGGGAGUGAGAAUGUUGGCAUGAGUAGCGAGAUGUGGGUGAGAAUCCCACAGGCCGUAAACCCAAGGUUUCCAGGGGAAGGUUCGUCCGCCCUGGGUUAGUCGGGACCUAAGCUGAGGCCGAAAGGCGUAGGUGAUGGACAACAGGUUGAUAUUCCUGUACUACCGAUAACCGUUUGAGAGAAGGGAUGACACAGUAGGAUAAGCUAAGCACACUGUUGGUUAUGUGUGCCCAAGCAUUGAGGCAGUCAAAGUAGGCAAAUCCGCUUUGAUAAUGCUGGGAUGUGAUGGGGAGCGAAAUUUAGUAGCGAAGUAGCUGAUUUCACACUGUCAAGAAAAGUCUCUAUCGAGGUUAAAGGUACCCGUACCGCAAACCGACACAGGUGGGUGAGGAGAGUAUCCUAAGGCCAGCGAGAGAACUGUUGUUAAGGAACUCGGCAAAAUGACCCCGUAACUUAGGGAUAAGGGGUGCCACCAUCAGGUGGCCGCAGAGAAUAGGCCCAAGCGACUGUUUACCAAAAACAUAGGUUUCUGCUAAGUCGCAAGACGAUGUAUAGGAGCUGACGCCUGCCCGGUGCUGGAAGGUUAAGGGGAUCUGUUAGAGUAAUCGAAGCAGUGAACUUAAGCCCCAGUAAACGGCGGCCGUAACUAUAACGGUCCUAAGGUAGCGAAAUUCCUUGUCGGGUAAGUUCCGACCCGCACGAAAGGCGUAACGAUUUGGGCACUGUCUCAACAACAGACUCGGUGAAAUUGUAAUUCCGGUGAAGAUGCCGGAUACCUGCGACAGGACGGAAAGACCCCAUGGAGCUUUACUGUAGCUUGACAUUGGGUCUUGGUACUACAUGUACAGGAUAGGUGGGAGGCUUUGAAACCAGGACGCCAGUUUUGGCGGAGCCAUCCUUGGGAUACCACCCUUGUAGUACUGGGACUCUAACCAUAGGCCAUGAAUCUGGUCUUGGGACACUGUCAGGUGGGCAGUUUGACUGGGGCGGUCGCCUCCCAAAAGGUAACGGAGGCGCUCAAAGGUUCUCUCAGUACGGUCGGAAAUCGUACGUAGAGUGUAAAGGCAAAAGAGAGCUUGAUUGCAAGACAUACAGGUCGAGCAAGGAUGAAAAUCGGACUUAGUGAUCCGGUGGUUCUGCGUGGAAGGGCCAUCGCUCAACGGAUAAAAGCUACCCUGGGGAUAACAGGCUUAUCUCCCCCAAGAGUCCACAUCGACGGGGAGGUUUGGCACCUCGAUGUCGGCUCAUCACAUCCUGGGGCUGUAGUAGGUCCCAAGGGUUGGGCUGUUCGCCCAUUAAAGUGGUACGCGAGCUGGGUUCAGAACGUCGUGAGACAGUUCGGUCCCUAUCCGUCGCAGGCGUAGGAAAUUUGAGAAGACCUGUCCUUAGUACGAGAGGACCGGGAUGGACG
rnacentral:rRNA from 1 species